AGGACGACGCUGGCGGCGUGCUUAACACAUGCAAGUCGAACGGUAAGGCCCUUCGGGGUACACGAGUGGCGAACGGGUGAGUAACACGUGGGUGAUCUGCCCUGCACUUCGGGAUAAGCCUGGGAAACUGGGUCUAAUACCGGAUAGGACCAUGGACUUCACGGUUUGUGGUGGAAAGCUUUUGCGGUGUGGGAUGGGCCCGCGGCCUAUCAGCUUGUUGGUGGGGUAAUGGCCUACCAAGGCGACGACGGGUAGCCGGCCUGAGAGGGUGUCCGGCCACACUGGGACUGAGAUACGGCCCAGACUCCUACGGGAGGCAGCAGUGGGGAAUAUUGCACAAUGGGCGCAAGCCUGAUGCAGCGACGCCGCGUGAGGGAUGACGGCCUUCGGGUUGUAAACCUCUUUCAAUAGGGACGAAGCGCAAGUGACGGUACCUAUAGAAGAAGCACCGGCCAACUACGUG
rnacentral:rRNA from 1 species